AGAUUCAGGGGGCUUUGCUCUGCAGAUGAUGAACAAUGGAAUCAAACAUUUAAGCUGUGAAUAAAUAAUUACUCAUUUCUCUGAUCUUUUGCGGCAAGACACCAACACCUGUCUUUAUUUUAAUUCAUUUCCCAGUGUGUUGUGGCGAGGAUGAAAUAGUGUAUCCUAGGAUGCCAGGGGAAUCCACCGUCUGCCACCGCGAGCGUGAGAAGCCAAUCACCUAUCACUGGUAUCACUGGCAUCCCGGCCAUAUAUACCCUAGAGUUGCAUCAAUGGAAGGUGUUGUGGAAAUUCAGUCAUUCAGUUCAUUCAUGAUAUGAUUUCUAGAUUCUUCAGUGUCUCAUAUUUCAGACAAUUAUAAAAUUGCGAUGCUAUAUUCUUUAUUUCAUGUGUGCAUAUUUAAAUGUGUUAAGUCAAUCACUAGUGCUACAACCAGAGGAGUAAAGGUGUAUUUCCAUUCCAGAUUUGGGUUUACUUUUAAUAGUAAAUAACAUCUCAGUGCAAAUUGUAGACAUUUUGCUGAUUGUUAAAACAUUAAUUAAAAAGGAUCUUUUUCUGAGACAGUGUUGCCAGGUUUGUAAAGUAAUGGACAUCACUUCAAACUGUUUGGAAGUAACCGAAAAAUGGAGGAAGUGGCAACAAAACUUUCCAUAUACCCACCUUCCUCAGUAUUUUUUGGUGAUCCCAUCUUUGUGAGUGUGAUAACGCUCGUAACAAUGACUGAGCCAAUAGUGAUACAUUCUUAUGAACAGAAGUCCAAGGUUAGCAUCAGUGACUGAGCCAAUAGUGAUACAUUCUUAUGAACAGAAAUCUAGGGUUAGCAUCAAGGUUCACUCUGUGUUGUCCAGCCUAUGGGUUUUGACAAACUGACAAUGUCUUUUGUCACCCUGACGGAAUAAUUUCACAUCCUACACAUGACCUGAGCUGCAUCUACUAAUUCCUCUCCUUUUCUGAGGAUUCCUGACAACUAUGGAUGAUUUUACUGCCUCUAUAGGUUUCCUUUUCCAGAAUUGUAUAGAGUUGGAAUCAUAGAGUAUGUAGCUACGUAUAACUAACUUAUUUUACUUAGCAAUAUACAUGUAAGAUCUUUUGUAUCGUUUUGAAGCUUAACAGCUUAAUAAUUCUUAUCAGUGAACAAUAGUCCAUUGGUUUCAUCGAACAGGGUUAGUUGGUUCACUCACUGCCUGAAGACCAUCUGAGCUGCUUCCAAUUUGGGUAAUUAUGAAUAAAGCUGCCCACAUUCUUGUGCAGAUUUUAAGAUGAACAUAAUUUUCUAAUUUAGCUGGGUAAAUAUGUAGAAUUUUGAUCACUUGCUGGUAAGACUAUGUUUUCCAUUGUGUUAGGCAGAAUUCACCAGUACAAUUAUGUGGGCAUUUUUUUUUAAGUUAUUACUUCCUGAUUAAAUUCUAUAAUGAUAGAGGCCUACUCAGAUUAUCUAUCUCUCCUUUGGGUGGUUAUGGUAGUUUCUCCCUUUGAAGGCAUUUGUCCAUUUCAUCUAAGCUAGGAAAUUUGUGGGUGUAGACACUUGAAUCUGACAAGUUGCCUGCUUGGUUCUCAUCAAAGGCUACUGUGCUUCCUGUCAUUCCUACUCUCAAACUUUUCAAUAGACUUUCACUCCUGCACUUAAAAAAUUGCAGGCAUAGAUUUGUUGAAAGUAUUCUGUUAUUAUUUUCUUAAUGAUUAUGGGAUCAGCAAGGAUAAUUCCUCUUCUAUUCAUAUUGUUUGUACAUCGUGUCUUCUGUAUUUUCUUUGUGAUUAGCCUUGCUGGAGGUUUACCAAUUCUAUUGAUCUUUUCUAAGAAGCAGCUUUUGGUUUUGUUGAGUUUCUUUAUUUUAUUAUUUCUAUUACAUUGAUUUCUGCAAAUAUUGUUAUAUUUUGGGGGAGGAGUGUUGCCUGGUUUACAUUACACUACACUUUUUUCUCUAGUUUCCUAAGGUGGAAAGUAAGACAUCUGGAUUUGGAUUACAUUUAGUUUACUGCACAGAAUUGUGAAUGGCACUGAUGCCCCUGAAGUGUGCACUUGAUUAUUAAAAUAAUAAAUAUGAUGUAUUUUGGCCACAAUACUGAUUUUAAAGCCAAUUAAAUGGAUGAUAAGUACAGGAGGAGCAUAUGUAGAUCAAGGAAAGAUAAAUGACAUUAUAACAUUUCAACAACAAAAGAAAUUUACCGGGCCUCAAAAUGCACAAGGGGGUGAUGGGACACUGUCAUGAAAUCAGCAGUGCAUUUGUGUGCCACCCUGUGUGAACUCUGCCUUUUUUGCAGUGGUGUGGGGGCUUAGCCAGAGAACCAGGUCCUGACUUCUGUGGCUUCCUGAUGGUCUCAUUUGCCUUCCCUCAUCACCCAGGAGGGUGUCCCAGUGGCAGCCAAGUUUCUACCCUUAACCCACCUCCUUUACACAUGCCAGCCCCCUGUCCUUAGCAUCCAAGGUUGCCUAAGGGAUUCCUUCAGUGGAACCAACAUGAUGACAGUUACUCUGUGUUUCCUAGAUUACGAUGAGGACCUGGUGCAGGAAGCUUCAUCUGAAGAUGUCCUGGGCGUUCAUAUGGUGGACAAAGACACAGAGAGAGACAUUGAGAUGAAACGGCAACUACGGCGACUACGGGAGCUCCACCUAUACAGCACAUGGAAGAAGUACCAAGAGGCGAUGAAGACAUCCUUGGGAGUUCCACAAUGUGAGCGUGACGAAGGCUCCUUGGGCAAGCCAUUGUGUCCACCCGAGAUACUCUCGGAGACGUUGCCAGGCUCUGUGAAGAAAAGGGUAUGCUUUCCAUCAGAAGAUCAUCUAGAGGAGUUUAUAGCAGAACAUCUCCCUGAAGCAUCCAAUCAGAGUCUCCUCACUGUUGCCCAUGCAGACACAGGCAUCCAAACCAACGGUGACCUGGAAGACCUGGAGGAGCAUGGGCCAGGGCAGACAGUCUCUGAGGAAGCCACAGAAGUUCACAUGAUGGAGGGGGACCCAGACACACUGGCCGAACUUCUGAUCAGGGAUGUACUUCAGGAGCUGUCCAGUUACAACGGCGAGGAGGAGGACCCAGAGGAGGUGAAGACAUCCUUGGGAGUUCCACAACGUGGUGACCUGGAAGACCUGGAGGAGCAUGUGCCAGGGCAGACAGUCUCUGAGGAAGCCACAGGGGUUCACAUGAUGCAGGUGGACCCAGCCACGCCGGCAAAGAGUGACCUGGAAGACCUGGAGGAGCAUGUGCCAGGGCAGACAGUCUCUGAGGAAGCCACAGGGGUUCACAUGAUGCAGGUGGACCCAGCCACACUGGCAAAGCAAUUGGAAGACUCCACCAUUACAGGCAGCCACCAGCAGAUGUCAGCAAGUCCUUCCUCUGCACCUGCAGAAGAAGCAACAGAAAAGACCAAAGUGGAAGAGGAAGUGAAAACCAGAAAGCCCAAGAAGAAAACCAGGAAGCCCAGCAAGAAAAGCCGGUGGAAUGUCCUGAAAUGUUGGGACAUUUUUAAUAUAUUUUAGAGACCUCUGAAGAUUCCUCGACCACCAGGAAGGGCCCCGACGUGGGGAUGUCAACAUGGCUCAGACUUGAUGUGGAUCGUGAUCAUUUCGGGAAAUGUGUUACUCCAAAAACUUUUAUAAUCUUUGCUUAAUUUGUUUUUAAAUACUUUCCUGGCUGGGCGUGGUGGCUUAUGCCUGUAAUCCCAGCACUUUGGGAGGCCGAGGCGGGUGGAUCACCUGAGGUCAGGAGUUAAAGACCAGCCUGGCCAACAAGGUGAAACCCCGUCUCUACUAAAAAUACAAAAAUUAGCUAGGCGUGGUGGCGCACUCUUGUAGUCCCAGCUAUUUGGGAGGCUGAGGCAGGAGAAUCACUUGACCUCAGGAGGCGGAGGUUGCAGUGAGCCGAGAUCAUGCCACUGCACCCCAGCACCUGGCUACAGAGUGAGACUUUGUCUCAAAAAAAAAAAAAAAAGAACAAAAAAAUUCUGACUUUAACCUCUGUUUUUCAGAGGGCACAAAUUGUUCUUGUAUUGUUUCCAUUUUACAUUUUUUUCUUGAAGUUAUUUUCCAAUUGUUUUCAUUCUUUCUGAAGUUUUGUUUACUCGGUUUUAAGUUUUUGUAAUUUUGAUAGACUUUUGUGCUUUCAUUUUCUUAAUGACUUUUACCUCAUUUUUAAAACAAAUCCAUAGUAUGGAUGAUAUUGAUGAUGAAAUGUCUUACGAUGAUCAUUUAGAGGUUUAUUUUGAACAACUGGCAAUUCCAGGAAUGAUGGAAUAAAGCAUACGAAGUAGAAGGACUGGAACCUCCAGAAAAAGUACUUUAAGUUACCUACAGGUGAUCCUAGUCAGGUAUGAAUUGAUAAGAAAUGCCUGCACCUUCCCUCCUUCCUAUCUUUCCCUUGCCUACAGAAAAUUAAAAGGCAAAACAAUAGACAUCUGCAUAUUCUUCAUUCAGAUCAACCAGUGGCUAGCAUUUGCCACCUUUUGCAGUUUCUUUCUCUUUCCAUAAGUACUUUCUUCUCUGAAUCAUUUGAAAGCAAAUGAAAACAGUAGCCUAAAGUGUCAGUUUCAACCAGAAAAUAACAGCUCUGAUUUCUCAUGGCUCAUACUCGUCUGAAACGACUCAGGUAGAGGCUGAGGAAGGCCGUGUUGUUUGUCUACCUGGGACUACACCUACUGAAAGAAGUUCUCAAGUUCUGAUUGAGUUCUAAAAUUUUUUGAAGAUUGGAAUUCUUCAUAUGUAAAAAGAGAAGAGAAAGACAUUCUUGAUUUUGGUGACUAGAGUUGUAGAUGCUGGAAGCUUUGCCACUAACAUUGAUGAACCAGAUGCAUGUCACCAGCCCAUCACGGGCACCAUGGGCCCGGCACUGCCACGUUUUCCAAGGAACCUGCCGGAGCUCCUGCGGAAGCUGCUCCUCAGGCGAUGGAGUCCCUUCGCUGGUAGGCCCUUCUUCAGUCACCACAGGAUGCCUGCCAUUCAUGAACAAGAAGGAGAGGACGGGCUUUGAAUAAAAAACAGGAAUAUCCAGCCACUGGUGCACAGCCAUUGCCACUUGUGCCCCCAGGGGAUCUUGUCAACUCCAGUAUGUCCCCCCAGCACUGUGUUAUCUGGCAUAAUAAAUGUAGUUGGGCUGUAGUUGUAGUGACUCCUCCCAAAACAACCCAGGAGUUUAAUACUGUUUGGCCACCGGUUACAGACAUUGCUGCCCCUUCCGCUGCGGCUUUAAAAGCCUAUCUAAUCGGCUGGGUGUGAUGGUGGCUCAGACCUAUAAUCCCAGCACUUUGGGAGUCCAAGGUGGGUGGAUCACCUGAGGUCAGGAGUUUGAGACCGGCCUGGCCAACAUGGUGAAACCCCAUCUCUACUAAAAAUACAGCAAAUUAGCUGGGCGUGGUGGCGCAUGACUGUAAUCCCAGCUACUCGGGAGGCUGAGGUAGGAGAAUUGCUUGGGUGGCAGAGUAAGACUCCGUCCCAAAAAAAAAAGUUAUCUAAUCAGGGACGUCACCUUUCCCUGCCAGUCAUUUUGUUACCAAUGAAAGAAAACAUAUUCAAAUCAAUUUUUAGUUCAGAAAAUGUUUCUUUCAUUGUAUCUUUGAAUUUUAUUGUUCUGCAUUUUUUACUUCAAAAACACCUACUAUAUGCAUUUUUUCUCUCGUUUCCUUUUUUUUCCAAGAAAUGUUUUUGUCCUUUUGAUUUUUUCACUGACCAUUACCAUUAUUUAUAUACCAUGUACCUGGAGAGUUUCCAAUGUUUCUCUUUGGUCUGAGAUACUUGCUAUGAUUUUCACUUUUUAAAUGCUCUUUUGAGAUUUGUUUUGUGGCCUAAAAUGUGGUCUAUCCUGGAGAAUGUUCUGUGAGCUGAUGAGAAGAAUGCACGUUCUGCAGUUGGUGGGUGAAAUGUUCUGUAAUUACCUGUGAGGUCCCUUUGACUUCUCUUGGAGUCAGUCUGGUCUGUUACUUUUCUGCCUAGAGGGUGUGUCUGUUGCUGAAAGUGGGUGUUGGAGUCCCCAGCUAUUAUUGUCUGUCUCUGUCUGUUGCUCGAAUAACUCUUACUUUAAUAACUGGGGCUCCUGUGUCAGGUGUGUUUACAUUGACAACUGUCCUACCUUCUUGCUGAAUUGAUCUCUUUAUCGUUUUAUAAUGACCUUUAUUUUCUAUUUUUGUGCUUUUUUGACUUAAAGCCUACUUUGUGUGACAAGCAUAGCUAUACAUACUCACUUUUGGUAACACUUUUCAUUUCUUAUCAUCUUCAUUGAAUCUCACUUCUUCACAUUUACCAAAAUGUCUACUUUUGAGCUGUGGCACCUCUUUGAAUCUUCAGAUCCACCACAUGCUGAUCAAGCCUUCCUUUUUGUCUGUACUCUGAGGAAUCCCAAACAGGCAUUUUUGCAAGAAAGUCUAGGAGGGAAACAUAAAUCUAUGUGUCAAAAAAAUGAACAUAGAAAAUAAUGUGUCCUGGUUAACAAAAGUUCUCAUUGUAAAGUGUUAGGCACAAGACUAUGGAAUUUCAUGUGCCAUAAAUAAAAUUGUCUUGAUUUGUCUAAAACUACAUUUUGUCUAAAACUACUUUUAAAAAUUACAUGUUACUCUAAUA
rnacentral:lncRNA from 1 species